GACGUAGGGCGCAAGCGUUGUCCGGAUUUAUUGGGCGUAAAGAGCUCGUAGGCGGCCUGUCGCGUCGACUGUGAAAACUCACGGCUCAACCGUGGGACUGCAGUCGAUACGGGCAGGCUAGAGUUCGGUAGGGGAGACUGGAAUUCCUGGUGUAGCGGUGAAAUGCGCAGAUAUCAGGAGGAACACCGGUGGCGAAGGCGGGUCUCUGGGCCGAUACUGACGCUGAGGAGCGAAAGCGUGGGGAGCGAACAGG
rnacentral:rRNA from 1 species